UACGUAGGGUGCAAGCGUUAAUCGGAAUUACUGGGCGUAAAGCGUGCGCAGGCGGUUUGGUAAGACAGAUGUGAAAUCCCCGGGCUCAACCUGGGAACUGCAUUUGUGACUGCCAGACUAGAGUCUGUCAGAGGGGGGUGGAAUUCCACGUGUAGCAGUGAAAUGCGUAGAGAUGUGGAGGAACACCGAUGGCGAAGGCAGCCCCCUGGGAUAAGACUGACGCUCAUGCACGAAAGCGUGGGGAGCAAACAGGAUUAGAUACCCUGGUAGUCCACGCCCUAAACGAUGUCGACUAGUUGUUGGGGAUUCAUUUCCUCGGUAACGCAGCUAACGCGUGAAGUCGACCGCCUGGGGAGUACGGUCGCAAGAUUAAAACUCAAAGGAAUUGACGGGGACCCGCACAAGCGGUGGAUGAUGUGGAUUAAUUCGAUGCAACGCGAAAAACCUUACCUACCCUUGACAUGCCAGGAAUCCUGCAGAGAUGUGGGAGUGCCCGAAAGGGAGCCUGGGCACAGGUGCUGCAUGGCUGUCGUCAGCUCGUGUCGUGAGAUGUUGGGUUAAGUCCCGCAACGAGCGCAACCCUUGUCACUAGUUGCUACGAAAGGGCACUCUAGUGAGACUGCCGGUGACAAACCGGAGGAAGGUGGGGAUGACGUCAAGUCCUCAUGGCCCUUAUGGGUAGGGCUUCACACGUCAUACAAUGGCCGGUACAGAGGGCUGCCAACCCGCGAGGGGGAGCUAAUCCCGGAAAGCCGGUCGUAGUCCGGAUUGCAGUCUGCAACUCGACUGCAUGAAGUCGGAAUCGCUAGUAAUCGCGGAUCAGCAUGUCGCGGUGAAUACGUUCCCGGGUCUUGUACACACCGCCCGUCACACCAUGGGAGUGGGGUUCACCAGAAGCCGUUUGCCUAACCGCAAGGAGGGCGGCGACCACGGUGAGCUUCAUGACUGGGGUG
rnacentral:rRNA from 1 species